GUGCCAGCAGCCGCGGUAAUACGGAGGAUCCGAGCGUUAUCCGGAUUUAUUGGGCUUAAAGGGCGCGCAGGCUGACUGAUAAGUCAGCGGUGAAAAGCAUAGGCUUAACCUAUGUCUUGCCGUUGAUACUGUCAGACUAGAAUAUAAAUGGAGUAGGCGGAAUGACGCAUGUAGAGGUGACAUUCAUAGAUAUGAUUUAGAACACCGUUCGCGAAGGCGGCGUACUCAGAUAUAAUUGACGCUGAUGCACGAAAGCGUGGGUAUCGAACAGUAUUAGAUACCCUGGUAGUCCACGCUGUAAACUAUGAUAUCUCGUUGUCGGCGAUAUAAUGUCGGUGACCAAGCGAAAGCGAUAAGUUAUCCACCUGGGGAGUACGAUCGCUAGGUUGAAACUCAAAUGAAUUGACGG
rnacentral:rRNA from 1 species